rnacentral:rRNA from 1 species
GAUGAACGCUGGCGGCGUGCCUAAUACAUGCAAGUCGAGCGGUAAGGCCCCUUCGGGGGUACACGAGCGGCGGACGGCUGAGUAACACGUAGGAACGUACCCCAAAGUGAGGGAUAAGCACCAGAAAUGGUGUCUAAUACCGCAUGUGCUCUAAGGAGUAAAGCUUCGGCGCUUUGGGAACGGCCUGCGCAUGAUUAGCUUGUUGGUGAGGUAAUGGCUCACCAAGGCGACGAUCAUUAGCUGGUCUGAGAGGAUGACCAGCCAGACUGGGACUGAGAACGGCCCAGACUCCUACGGGAGGCAGCAGUAGGGAAUUUUCCACAAUGGGCGAAAGCCUGAUGGAGCAACGCCGCGUGCAGGAUGAAUGCCUUCGGGUUGUAAACUGCUUUUAUAUGUGACGAAUAUGACGGUAGCAUAUGAAUAAGGAUCGGCUAACUCCGUGCCAGCAGCCGCGGUAAAAC